UUUCAAUAAAAGAUGAAAACUUAAAUAGAAAACGUGUCCUAAACCUGUGUUUUACUCCUGCAGCCAUGAUAAUCCAAAUGAGAUUCCUGUGGAAUGGAACUGGGAAGCUAAAAGAAAGCAGACGACAGAUGCCCGUGAUUGGAGUAAUGAUAAUAAUAGGCAAAAGGACAAGGCAGUUAGUUUUGAAAGCUAUGAAGGAACGAAGACAGCUCCGGUAAAAGGUCCGAAGGAUCAAGGUUUACAUCCAUCCUGGCAAGCCAAGCGACGGGAAAGAAAGCAGGAGGUUUCAAUCAACCAGUUUCAGGGGCAACGUAUUGUGUUUGAUUGAUGUCCUAUAUGUAACAUUGUGAUUUUAAUAAAAAGAAAAAAAAACUAAGGAAGUGCUCAAUAAUGUAUUUCUUCUUUUUUCAAGGCACAUAAAAAAAAUACCGCGUGGGCACACCCACACCCACGGAGAUAGACGCAUCUUUGCGUCAUAACGACAAAAAAAAAUCAUGUCAUGUGUACCUUGUGUCACCACUAUACAUAAUAAAUCAAAUAAAUAGCAAAAUUACGAUGUUGGGCAAAUAAUAACUGACCGGUGCUCCUGAUAGCCUCU